CGCGCGCGGGGCUGUGGGAUGAAGGCCCGCAGAGGCGGUGGGGAUGGGGCGCGGGAAUCCUGUGAGUCCCUUAUGCAGUGUCCCUGAGCUGGGUUCAGUCUUCCCCUGCAGCCGAGAGGUGUUUCCUAACAGUCCUGGUUCACGACUGCGGACUGAGGAGUCUAGGCUGGGUGCCGAUUUGAGCCCCGACUCCCGCCUCAGUCCUCUUUCUCCACCAAGGAUGGCUUCCGUCUCCCGAAAUUGGUGGGGUUGGACUUUUAUCUCUUUUUGCUUUGAGGAUCUACUGUGUGUAAGCUCUCGCUGGGCUGCAAAGGAAUCUUUGCAGAGCGCCAUGUGCUAGAGGAUGGGCGAAUGAGAGCUUGGAGAUGCCUGAGGUAUGGUCCUUAUCCGCGUGACAGGUUGGAGGUCCAGGUGAGCAAUCAGGCUUCAAAACUUCAUGGAGGACUCAUCUUUUCUUCCUGAAUGGGAAUCAGUUCCUGACUGACUUAUUUUACUGUAUUAAAAGUGUUGUAACUAGG